CAGCAUUCUGUCAUUUCGAUUAUGGCAUUGCAGUGAACACCAGUUGUUUUAUGAGUACCUACACGAGGUUGUUGUAUUUUUACGAUUGCUGCAGCGCUUCGAAAAAGACUAUCAAAAUUCAAAAUCAAACAAUAUUACUUAAAACAAAAUAACGUAAUAACAAAUUAGUUAUUAAAUCAAACAGUAUAUUUUAUUCAUCGUUUUUUUUUCGUAAUAAUUUUUUUGAGAAUCGUUUUCGUAUUGUGCUUCCAAACAAUUCUGUGACAUUAUUCAUUUUGAAAAAUGAAAUUCAUAUGCUGUGUAUUUUUGUGCGGCGUUUUGUGGAGUUCACCAUCACAUAGUUUGAAAAAAAUACGCGUGGGCUUAGGUGAACCAAAUCCACCAUUGAAUAAAAAUGUGAUCGAUAUUGAAGACAAGUGGUUUAUACAAAAAUUAGAUCACUUUAAUCCUACUGAUAAUAGAACAUGGAAACAGAGGUAUCAAGUAAACCAGAAAUAUUACAAGAAGGAUGGCCCUGUGUUUUUGAUGAUAGGAGGAGAAGGUCCAAUUUCAGCCAAAUGGAUGUACAGCGGGGCUUGGAUUAAUUAUGCUGAAGAAUUUAAUGCUUUAUGUUUUCAAUUAGAACAUCGGUAUUAUGGCAAAAGCCAUCCUACCGAAGAUAUGAGUACCAAAAAUUUAGUAUAUUUGAGUAGUGAACAAGCAUUAACGGAUUUGGCGGAAUUUAUAGUCAACAUUCGUACAAAGUAUGAUAUUCCAGCUACUGCUAAAUGGGUAGCAUUUGGAGGGUCUUACCCAGGAUCUUUGGCUGCAUGGUUGAGAAUGAAAUUUCCACAUCUAGUGCACGCUGCAGUAUCUUCAAGUGGUCCCUUAUUGGCAAAAAUAGAUUUUAAAGAAUAUUUUACGGUGGUUGAAAAUGCAUUAGCAACGUAUUCACCGGAAUGUGUAUUACAAAUCAAACAAGCAAAUCAAAUGAUUGAUAGCCAAAUAAAAACAAGGAAAGGAGCAAAAAUAAUUGAAAAAAAAUUCAAAUUAUGCGAUCCAUUAGAUAUAAACAAAAAAAAUGACAUAGAAAACUUGUUUGAGACUUUAGCUGGAAAUUUUGCUGACAUUGUACAAUACAAUAAGGAUAACAGAUUUUAUGAAAACCCUGAACGGUCAUUAGUAACAUUGGAAACUUUAUGUGAUAUUAUGGUUAACAAAACAAUAAUAAAUUCAUUAGACAAGUAUGCAGAUGUUAAUAACAAACUAUUAUCCAUCAAUAAUUUAACGUGUACAGAACACGUCUAUACCAAGAUGAUUGAUUCUUAUUUGAAUACAAGUUGGAAUAGUGAUUCAGCAGCAGGAGGUCGACAAUGGACUUAUCAAACUUGUACAGAGUUUGGCUUUUUCCAAACAUCCAAUCAAAAUGAUCAUGUGUUUGGUAAUAAGUUUCCAGCUGAAUUUUUUAUAGAUAUGUGCUCUGAUAUUUUUGGAAAGUUGUAUAAUUUUGAUAUUUUGUCUAAUGGAAUUAAAAGAAGUAAUAUUAUGUACGGUGAAUUGAACAUAAAAGAAAACCGAGUAAUUUAUGUUCAUGGAUCUGUUGAUCCGUGGCAUGCAUUAGGCAUCACGCACACAAAAACAAAGAAUAACGUUGCAAUUUAUAUAGAGGGGACAGCUCAUUGUGCAAAUAUGUAUCCUCCAUCUCCUACAGAUCUUCCACAACUGAAACAUGCUCGUGAAAUGAUUAGAGCAUUUUUGAGUGAAUGGUUAACACAAAAUGACAUUAAUGAAGUAUCUGAAUUCGACAAUAUAGAAUUUAAAUACAAAGUUUAAAAUACAAUAUUUUUAUUACCUUCAAGGCUUCAAAAUAGAAUUUUGAUAAGCAUAACUAGUCGAAAUAAUGCUUCAAUUCAAACUUUGAGGUGGUUUCCGAUGGAAAAGUGAAUAUCCUUGGUGCAUAAUAGAGGUCAAAAGUAAACAUUUUCCAGCAGUUUUCAAUAAAAUCGAGAAAAACAAAAAAAGAGUGACGGAAAAGCGGGAAUUUUUACGCAAAACCAGUUUUCGACCAAAUCGAUUUUUUUAUUUAGUUGUUACUCAAAAACUAAUCACUAUAAAUACUUGAAAUUUUCACCAAACGUUUAUGUUACUGUUAAUUGUUAUUAAUACAUGGCUAAACUUUCAAAAUA